GUAGGGGUAAUAAUAUGCUGAAGGCUAGCUGUAUUGGGUACAGAUGAUAAUAUGGGUAAUAAUAUGCUGAAGGCUAGCUGUAUUGGGUACAGAUGAUAAUAUGUAGGGGUAAUAAUAUGCUGAAGGCUAGCUGUAUUGGGUACAGAUGAUAAUAUGUAGGGGUAAUAAUAUGCUGAAGGCUAGCUGUAUUGGGUACAGAUGAUAAUAUGUAGGGGUAAUAAUAUGUUGAAGGCUAGCUGUAUUGGGUACAGAUGAUAAUAUGUAGGGGUAAUAAUAUGCUGAAGGCUAGCUGUAUUGGGUACAGAUGAUAAUAUGUAGGGGUAAUAAUAUGCUGAAGGCUAGCUGUAUUGGGUACAGAUGAUAAUAUGUAGACUAUAAUAAUAUGCUGAAGGCUAGCUGUAUUGGGUACAGAUGAUAAUAUGUAGGGGUAAUAAUAUGCUGAAGGCUAGCUGUAUUGGGU
rnacentral:lncRNA from 1 species